CCUACGGGAGGCAGCAGUGAGGAAUAUUGGUCAAUGGACGAGAGUCUGAACCAGCCAAGUAGCGUGAAGGAUGACUGCCCUAUGGGUUGUAAACUUCUUUUAUAUGGGAAUAAAAUGUUCCACGUGUGGGAUUUUGUAUGUACCAUAUGAAUAAGGAUCGGCUAACUCCGUGCCAGCAGCCGCGGUAAUACGGAGGAUCCGAGCGUUAUCCGGAUUUAUUGGGUUUAAAGGGAGCGUAGGUGGAUUGUUAAGUCAGUUGUGAAAGUUUGCGGUGCAAUCGUAAAAUUGCAGUUGAAACUGGCAGUCUUGAGUACAGUAGAGGUGGGCGGAAUUCGUGGUGUAGCGGUGAAAUGCUUAGAUAUCACGAAGAACUCCGAUUGCGAAGGCAGUUCACUGGACUGCAACUGACACUGAGGCUCGAAAGUGUGGGUAUCAAACAGGAUUAGAUACCCCAGUAGUC
rnacentral:rRNA from 1 species